rnacentral:rRNA from 1 species
CCUACGGGAGGCUGCAGUGGGGGAUAUUGGACAAUGGGGGGAACCCUGAUCCAGCGACGCCGCGUGAGUGAAGAAGUAUUUCGGUAUGUAAAGCUCUGUCAGCAGGGAAGAAAGAAAUGACGGUACCUGACCAAGAAGCCUCGGCUAACUACGUGCCAGCAGGCGCGGGAAUACGUAGGGGGCAAGCGUUAGCCGGAAUUACGGGGUGUAAAGGGAGCGUAGACGGUUAAGUAAGUCUGGAGUGAAAGGCCGGGGCCCAACCCCGGGACUGCUCUGGAAACUAUUGAACUUGAGUGCAGGUGAGGUAAGCGGAAUUCCUGGUGUAGCGGUGAAAUGCGUAGAUAUUAGGAGGAACACCAGUGGCGAAGGCGGCUUACUGGACUGUAACUGACGUUGAGGCUCGAAAGCGUGGGGAGCAAACAGGAUUAGAUACCCGGGUAGUC